AAAAAAAAUAGAUAAAUGUAUGCAAAGGAAUGUGUGACUAUCUGUGAAGGAAUAAGUUAAAUAUGUAUGUGAAGGAAUAUUAUGAGUAGCUGAAGGAACAGUAUGAGAAGCGUUUAGAGGGAUUUAUGGUUGGGCUAUGGUUAUAGGUUUAACCCCCUUAAGGACCAAACUUCUGGAAUAAAAGGGAAUCAUGACAUGUCACACAUGUCAUGUGUCCUUAAGGGGUUAAAGGCAGUCUGGGGUACUUUAAAAUGAUUUUGGAGGGGGAGGGGGGUAAUCUGUAUCAGGCAAACGAUUUAACAGGAUGAAAGGAAUUCGCUUGGAAUGUAUCUGUUUGUGAACAGAUAAAUGAGUUAAGUUAUUUGAAGAUUUGGAAGAUUUCAUCAGUUUACAAACGUCAUACAAACAGAAGUGCACAUUAGGUUGAAAUAACCAAUUAGACAAAACACAUGGAGAAAACCCCCCAUAGGGGGAAAAAAAACCUCAAGUACAAAUAUUCAAAAACAGAGGGGUAACAAAAACCAAAAUAAAAUUAAAUGAAAUAAUGCUUUAUUGAGUCAUCAUUAAUGAAAAAAAAAAACAGACAAGCGAAAAUAAACUAAAAACUGAAAAGAAAAGUGCAUUUAGUAAAUACUGUGUGCUGUGUAUUAAAUCAGGUAACUGGC